GCAAGUUGAGCGGUCAGGCCCCUUCGGGGGUACACGAGGAGCGAACGGGUGAGUAUCGCGUGGGUAAUCUACCCAAAGGCGUGGGAUAGCCUCGGGAAACCGGGGGUAAUACCGCAUGAGUCCUUGACGGCAUAAGCCGAUUAGGGGAAAGGCGGGGAGCCUUCGGGACCUGUCGCCUUUGGAUGAGCCUGCGUCCGAUUAGCUUGUUGGCGGGGUAAUGGCCCACCAAGGCAACGAUCGGUAGCCGGCCUGAGAGGGUGAAC
rnacentral:rRNA from 1 species